CACGGGUGAGUAACACGUAGGUGACCUACCUCUUUGUGGGGGAUAACCAGAAGAAAUUCUGGCUAAUACCGCAUAAGCUGGAAACAGGAAAGGGUGCUUCGGCAUUCGCAGAGAGAUGGGCCUGCGGGACAUUAGCUUGAUGGUGGGGUAACGGCCUACCAUGGCGACGAUGUCUAGCUGGUCUGAGAGGAUGAUCAGCCACACUGGAACUGAGACACGGUCCAGACUCC
rnacentral:rRNA from 1 species